UGUUAAAAAAUUUACUCAUUUAUACUGUUAAAAACUGGUAUAACUGAUGAAAUAAUCACACCUGUGUACCUUAUAUUGACAUAAAAGGAUCAAUUUUUAACAAUAAAAAUGAAUGAAUUUCUAAUA
rfam:Gossypium hirsutum cultivar TM-1 unplaced genomic scaffold scaffold506.1, whole genome shotgun sequence